rnacentral:lncRNA from 1 species
CCCAUUUGCCCAAUGGAGAUAACAGCCUCUGCACUACUUCCAAAUGGAGAAUGAUGAACAAGAACUGGAAAGUAUAUGGCAACAGACCUAUGAUAUCACUGGUGUAUCAAGAAAUGUCCUCUCCUUAUGCAGAGCCACAGACUUGCAGGAUUCCAAAUGUAUACACAAAAAGAAUCCUCCCCAUGAUGUGCCUAACAAAAGAUCAUACACCCUCUACUUGAAGACCUCUACGGAUAUAUGAGGAGCCCCAUUACCUCUCAAGAUGGCUGAUUCCAUUUUUGUUUAACUUAAACUGUUUUUCCCUCUGCUAGUCCCCCCUAUUGUUUCUGCCCUUUGGCACCAAAUAGAAUAAAUCUAUUCUUUCUUCCUUCUGAGAGCCCUUC